rnacentral:rRNA from 1 species
AACGAACGCUGGCGGCAUGCCUAACACAUGCAAGUCGAACGAGACCUUCGGGUCUAGUGGCGCACGGGUUCGUAACGCGUGGGAACCUGCCCUUAGGUUCGGAAUAACUCCCCGAAAGGGGUGCUAAUACCGGUUAAUGUCUUCGGACCAAAGAUUUAUCGCCUUUGGAUGGGCCCGCGUUGUAUUAGCUAGUUGGUAGGGUAAAAGCCUACCAAGGCGACGAUCCAUAGCUGGUCUGAGAGGAUGAUCAGCCACACUGGGACUGAGACACGGCCGAGACUACUACGGGAGGCAGCAGUGGGGAAUAGUGGAAAAUGGGCGAAAGCAUGAUCAAGCAAUGACGCGUGAGUGAUGAAGGCGUUAGGGUUGUAAAGCUCUUUUACACGGGAUGAUAAUGACAGUACCGGGAGAAUAAGCUCCGGCUAACUCCGUG